UGCGAUUCCUUUUGGUUUUGCAAGUAAAGCUCCGGCGCUUUAAGAGGAGUCCAUAUCCUAUCAGCUUGUUGGUAAGGUAAUGGCUUACCAAGGCUAAGACGGGGAGCUGGCGUGAGAGCGCGGUCAGCCACCAUGGAACUGAGACACGGUCCAUACUCCUACGGGAGGCAGCAAUUAGGAAUCUUGCGCAAUGGGGGCAACCCUGACGCAGCGACACAGUGUGGAGGACGACAGUCUUCGGAUUGUAAACUCCUUUUAUAUGGGAAGAAUAGAUGACGGUACCAUAUGAAUAAGCACCUGCUAACUACGUGCCAGAAGCAUCGGUGAUGCGUAGGGUGCAAACGUUAUCCGGAUUUAUUGGGUGUAUAGAGAUGCGUAGGUGUUUCUGUAAGUCUUUAGUUAAAGACCACGGCUCAACCGUGGGAAAGCUUUGGAAACUACAGGAAUUGAGACAGGAAGAGGCGAAUGGAAUUCCCAGUGGAGCGGUGAAAUGCGUUGAUAUUGGGAGGAACAUCAGUGGCGAAGGCGAUUCGCUGGUCCUUGUCUGACACUAAGGCUCGAAAGCGUGGGUAGCAAAACGGAUUAGAUACCCGUGUAGUCCACGCCGUAAACUAUGGACGCUAGGUGUUUGGUACAACUAUCUAACUCUUCGGAGAUAGAUGGAAGUAUUGAGUGCCGCAGCUAACGCGUUAAGCGUCCCACCUGGGAAGUACGGCCGCAAGGCUAAAACUCAAAUGAAUUGGCGGGAACCCGCACAAGCGGAGGAGCGCGUGGUUUAAUUCGACGGCAAUCGAAGAACCUUACCAGGGUUUGAAAUGUAUCUGCAUACUCUAUGAAAGUAGAGUAGCCUUCGAGGGUGAUACACAGGUGCUGCAUGGCCGUCGUCAGCUCGUGUCGUGAGAUGUUGGGUUAAGUCCCGCAACGAGCGCAACC
rnacentral:rRNA from 1 species